AACGAACGCUGGCGGCAUGCCUAACACAUGCAAGUCGAACGAGACCUUCGGGUCUAGUGGCGCACGGGUGCGUAACGCGUGGGAACCUGCCCUUAGGUUAGGAAUAACUCCCUGAAAGGGGUGGUAAUACCGGAUAAUGUCUCCGGACCAAAGAUUUAUCGCCUUUGGAUGGGGCCGCGUUGUUUUAGCUACUUGGUAGGGUAAACGCCUACCGAGGCGACGAUCCAUAGCUGGUCUGAGGGGAUGAUCAGCCACCCUGGGACUGAGACCCGGUCCAGACUCCUACGGGAAGCAGCAGUGGGGACUAUUGGACGAUGGGCGAGAGCAUGAUCCAGCAAUGCCGCGUGAGUGAUGAAGGCCUUAGGGUUGUAAAGCUCUUUUACCCGGGAUGAUAAUGACGGUACCGUGAGAAUAAGCUCCGGCUAACUCCGUG
rnacentral:rRNA from 1 species